rnacentral:rRNA from 1 species
AGCGAACGCUGGCGGCAGGCCUAACACAUGCAAGUCGAACGAACCUUUCGGGGUUAGUGGCGGUCGGGUGAGUAACAUGUGGGAACGUGCCUUUAUGUUUGGAAUAACUCAGGGAAACUUGUGCUAAUACCGAAUGUGCCCUUCGGGGGAAAGAUUUGUCGCCUUUAGAGCGGCCCGCGUUUGAUUAGCUAGUUGGUUGAGGUAAUGGCUCACCAAGGCGACGAUAGGUAGCUGGUCUGAGAGGAUGAUCAGCCACAUUGGGACUGAGACACGGCCCAAAAUCCUACGCGAUGGGGGCGAGGGUGAUCUAGCGAAAUGGGGUAGGGGCAGACGCCGCCAUGCUGGGUGAGUGAUGAAGUUGGUAGGAUAGUGAAGUUCUUUAACCGGGGGCGGUAAUGACGGUACCCGGAGAAGAAGCCCCGGCUAACUUCGUG